rnacentral:lncRNA from 1 species
AUUUGAAAAUACCCGAGUAGAGCUGCAAAUCAGUUGGGGAGAGAGGAUUUUGCCUGCCUUCUUCCUUAUUAUUUUGCUGCUGCAAGGCUGCUUUGCAAUCCGUAGGACCCCCACGCCUCCAACUACAGCCACUUUCUCAAGGAAGCAAGAGGAACUCACCAACCUGCUGUCCUGCUGCCCCUGUGCCCGGUUUGAGCGGUACUGCUGUUCGUGCAGCCAGAAGACGGGAUGCCCCCAUAGAUGGCUGGAAUGCUUGUGCUAAAAAGACUCCAGGCCAGUGAACUCUCGUCCUGCACAUGCUCUUGGGAUCCUGCCUAUCUGCAUGUUCAGUUCGCUGUUCUUCGGGUGCUUUACAAAACCAUGAAGUCCCGCCUUGCCACUGAGAUACAGACCAAACCUUGCAUACCAUGUGAUCCUCGGGUAUGAAUUACAGAUAAAGGGAAGGCCAUUCAGACCUUGUUUGUACUUCAGAAGGAAUCGGCAACGGGACACAAGAU